CUCCAGGGUAAGAUUUGGGGAACCCUGUGUUAAAAAGCUAAUACAUGUAUAUUGUACAUUAAGUUUAUUAAACUAAUUAUCAGAAGAAUGUGGUACAACAUGUGUUUAGAUUUUUUUAUUGAUAUUUCAGAGUUUUCGUAUGUGAGGUAAUCUUGUUUAUGCUGGGAGUAAAGGCAGUGUGUAUGACCGCUUGAUAUGAGAGACACAUCCUGUUUUUAAAGGUGAAUUAUAGCUCUUAAAAGUUGGAUAGCUGCAGGUUGGCCAUUGGCUUGAUAACAGUGGUUUAUGAAUAAAUCUUUCACCAACCAUUCACGUAUUUACUAACAAAACAGACCCAAAUCUUGUUCGGCCUGAUGCUCAACCUUGUACAGUCCACCAAAUGAUGACCACUGCAAAGUAAUGGGAAUCUGUGGUAAUCACAGCCUGCAUCUCAAGAUCAACAUGAUAAUAGCAGACCAUCUCUUAUCUUACUCUUAUCUGACUAAAUGUACAACUUCAUUGCCACGAAACAAAGAACAUUGGAUGGAGUAUGUACUGUACAAUGAUCCAGCAAACAAAAUAUGGACUUUUUUGUUAGCUUCCACAAACAUUGACACAAUCCUAUAGAAUUUAAUUUUUACAGUUAGUAAUGUAUUAUUAACAUCUCAUUCAUUUGUAUU